rnacentral:rRNA from 1 species
AACGCAGAGUACAUGGGCUGCCUGCGCGAUGCGAGACUACGGACGGAACUUAAGCAUAUCAAUACGUCCAGGAAAAUAAAUCAAAAUGAGAUUGCUCUAGUAGCGGCGAGCGAAGAAGCAAGAGCCAGGCCUGAAUCCUACGGGAGUUGUGGGCGUGCCAUGAUAGUGUGCCACUUUUCUCUGGAACGAGGAGGUAUAAACAGUGAAACUCUGGUAGGCCACAAUCACCGGCUUGAACAGUAGUACUGCUUGAGAGUGUAGUACGAAUACAGGUGGUAUGUCCCAUCUAAGGCUAAAUACAGACCCUUGUCCGAUAGCGGAUUGAGUAGCGCGAGCGAAAGAUGAAAAGUAAACCUCUAAAGGUUGCUCAAAAGACGUGAAACCAUUGUGCAUAAGGGCAAGCGAUCGCACUAACCACUAUUAGUGGGCUGUCGUUUACCGCCCGUCUCGUAACACGGAUUAAGGAGUUACGCUUGACUGCAAGCUGUUGGGUGCAAGCCCAUUGGCGAAGCGAAAGCGAGAAAGUCCAGGCUAGUCUGGGGGCCUCUGCACGCAGAAACCCCCUCACAGAGUCGUCUGGCGUAAACCCGAAAGGUGGUGAUCUUUACGUGGACAAGGCGAAGCCAGUCGAAAGGCUGGUGGAGGCCUGCAGUAGUAUUGACGUGCAAAUCAUUUAUCCGAUCUGCGUAAAGGGGCGAAAGACUCAUCGAACUACCAGGUAGCUGGUUACGUACGAAAUUUCUCUCAGGAUAGCAACAGCGGACUAGCUCCGACGGGUAGAGAUAAUGAUUGGAAGAAAGUGACCUUCGGGUAUGCCCUUACUCUCAAACUUCGAACCGUCGAGAAUGCUGAUCCAUCCGUAAGGUGGAACUACAUCGAGUAUAACGCUGCUAGUGGGCCUCUCUGGGUAAGCCGGAUGGGCGAGGAGGAUUCAGCCUUAAGCACAGUUACAGUGCGCAAUUGGGGCGCAUGAGACUAAACGACGUGCGCCGAUCUUGACAGCAGGAAGGUGGCCAUAGAAGCUGGCAGCCUCUAAGGAGUGUGUUACAACUUACCUGCCGAAUCGGUGCGCUCGGAAAAUGGAUCGCGCUACAGCCCCAAACUUACACUGUGCUGACGUUUGACGUCAGGUAGUACGUGGUAGUGCAUGCGUUGAAGCUUAGCAGUGAUGCUGAGUAGAGCGCGCACUAGUCCAGAUCUUAAUUGGAGUAGCAAUUAGCCUGCAUGCAGGCCACCGACGAGGAGAAGGAUUCCGCAGCCACUAAAAUAGACUGCGGGUGACUCGGCCCUAAGCUCUAGGCGAAAGCCAACGUAAAAGGCGAAAGGGAAGCAGGCCAAUAUCCCUGCAGAUUACUUCGAAUGUGGUGACACGAAGUGUAGCUUCGAGGCGCGAAACCAGCGCGGCUGGAUCAUCGUACCAGCCUAACGACGACGCAUCUGUAGAAGAGCCCAGCUCCAGAUAUAGACGCAUAGACGUAACGCGACCGGGUAACCGGCCGUGUGCAUGUUUUCGUGCUCCGUGAAAGGAAGCUAACACGUAACGAAGUAGUACCGUACUGAUAACCGCAUCAGGUCUCCUAGGCUAGAAACCUUUGGUGUGAAGAUAACGCGUGUAAGGGAAGUCGGCAAAUCGGCUCUGUAACUUUGGGAUAAAGAGUGGCUCUGGGCGCUUGCACAAUAGUCAAAGUAUUGAGACCUACAUAAAGUGCUGACGUGGGUUCGCCUGCCAGGCAUCAGUGUGGAGAUCUUUACGCGAGGAUGGUGUUAAUGAGCAGCUCAGAACUGCUACUGACCAGGAGAACCCGACUGUAUAAUUAAAACAUAGCAUUUCGAUGUCCGCAGCCUGGAGUUUACGAAAUGUGAAUCCUGCCCAGUGCUAUGACUGUCAACGUGACGAGAGUCAUUCAAGCUCUGGUAAACGGCGGGAGUAACUAUGACUCUUUUAAGGUAGCCAAAUGCCUCGUCCAGUAAUUUUGGACGUGCAUGAAUGGAUUAAUGAGGUUCUUACUGUCCCUACAUGCACCUUCGCGAAACCACAGACUCGGGAACGGGCGAGUGGCAGCUUCAGCGGGGCAAGAAGACCCUGUUGAGCUUGACUCCAGCUAGGCCUUGUAGAACGGUGAUGGAGGUGUAGUGAACUGGGGAGGGUAACCGACAAUGCAACACCCAGACUCUAUUCAUUGUUCUGCUAAUCUGGUAAAAGACCCGAUUUUUGUCUGGGGCUUGCCAGUGACAUGACUUGGUGGGGAGUUUGGCUGGGGCGGCGCGCCUGCUAAAUUGCAACGCAGGCGUCCUAAAAGAAGCUCAGGCAGGACGGAAACCUGCCGUGGAGCAAAAGAGCAAAAGCUUCUCUGACUGCUUGCGUCAGUGGCGUAAGCAGCCGUGAAAGCGUGGUCUAUCGAUCCUUUACGAAUCUGGGCAUGAUUCUGGAGGUGACAGAAAAGUUACCACAGGGAUAACUGGCUUGUGGCCGCCAAGCGAUCAUAGCGACGUGGCUUUUUGAUUCUUCGAUGUCGGCUCUUCCUAUCAUUCUGAAGCAGCAUUCAGAAAGUGUCGGAUUGUUCACCCGUGCAAGGGAACGUGAGCUGGGUUUAGACCGUCGCGAGACAGGUUAGUUUUAUCCUACUGAAGCGCUCGCCCGCUAUCAGGAGUCCAGAUUAGUACGAGAGGAACAUUUGUACCGCAGCACUAGCUUAUAGCCUCGCCUGACAGGGCGCGGGCUGACGCCACCCUGCGGCAUGUUACAGCUGACUGCCUCUAAGCUGGAAUCUCAUCUGCACGCGGGCAGUGU